UAGGGAAUCUUCGGCAAUGGACGAAAGUCUGACCGAGCAACGCCGCGUGAGUGAAGAAGGUUUUCGGAUCGUAAAACUCUGUUGUUAGAGAAGAACAAGGACGUUAGUAACUGAACGUCCCCUGACGGUAUCUAACCAGAAAGCCACGGCUAACUACGUGCCAGCAGCCGCGGUAAUACGUAGGUGGCAAGCGUUGUCCGGAUUUAUUGGGCGUAAAGCGAGCGCAGGCGGUUUCUUAAGUCUGAUGUGAAAGCCCCCGGCUCAACCGGGGAGGGUCAUUGGAAACUGGGGGACUUGAGUGCAGAAGAGGAGAGUGGAAUUCCAUGUGUAGCGGUGAAAUGCGUAGAUAUAUGGGGGAACACCAGUGGCGAAGGCGGCUCUCUGGUCUGUAACUGACGCUGAGGCUCGAAAGCGUGGGGAGCAAACAGG
rnacentral:rRNA from 1 species